rnacentral:tRNA from 1 species
UCCGCGGUAGCUCAGCAGGUAGAGCGCUUGACUGUUAAUCAGGAUGUCGUAGGUUCAAGUCCUACCCGCGGAGCCA